GCCCCCGUAGCUCAGUGGAUAGAGCACUGGCCUCCGGAGCCAGGAGCGGUGGUUCGAUUCCACCCGGGGGUACCA
rnacentral:tRNA from 1 species